UGCAAGUCUAAUGAAUUUUUCAUGGCGAACGGGUGAGUAAAACGUGAGAAUUUACACCUAGGCCAGGGAUAACAAAGGGAAACCUUUGGUAAUAUCUGAUACGCGCAAAAAAGUGCUUUAAAAAGUUAUUACUGCCUAGAAUCGAGCUCAUGGCUGAUUAGCUAGUUGGUGGAGUAAUAGCCUACCAAGGCGAGUAUCAGUAGCUGUCUUGAGAGGGAGGCCAGCCACAUUGGGAUUUAGAAACGGCCCAAACUCCUACGGGAGGCAGCAGUGGGGAAUCUUUUGCAAUGGGCGCAAGCCCGACAGAGCGACGCCAAGUGAAGGAUGACGGCCUUUUUGGUUGUAAACUUCUUUUACCUAAUUUAUUAAGACUGAGUAAAAGGUUAAAAAGUAUCGGCUAACUCCGUGCCAGCAGCCGCGGUAAUACGGGGGAUGCGAGCAUUUUCCGGAAUAACUGGGCGUAAAGCGUCUGUAGGUAGUUUAAUGUGUCCCCUGUAAAAGUAAGGGGCCUAACUCCUUGAAACGCAGGGGAAACUAUUAUACUAGAGUAUGAUAGAGGUAAAGGGAAUCCCUCGAGAAGUAGUGAAAUGCAUAGAUACGUGGGAGAAGGCCAAAGGCGAAGGCUUUUUACUGGGUCAUAACUAACAUUGAUAGACGAAAGCUAGGGUAGCGAAUGGGAUUAGAUACCCCAGUAGUCCUAGCCGUAAACUAUGGGUACUCGGUUCUGUACGUAAUUAUCGUUCAGUACCUUAGCUAACGCGUUAAGUAUCCCGCCUGAGGAGUACGCUCGCAAGAGUAAAACUCAAAGGAAUUGACGGGGGCUCGUACAAGCGGUGGAGCAUGUGGUUUAAUUCGAUGCAACGCGAAGAACCUUACCAGGAUUUGACAUGGUGUUAAGAUCUAGUUACUUAGUUUUUCCGAAACACACACAGGUGGUGCAUGGCUGUCGUCAGCUCGUGUCGUGAGAUGUUGGGUUAAGUCCCGUAACGAGCGCAACCCUCAUUCAAAGUUAAUUUACUUUUUGAAAACAGCCUACUUUUGUAUAAUAAGCUUAAAUACAGCAACUUUUAAAAGGAGGAGGGUGAGGACGACGUCAAGUCAUCAUGCUCCUUAUAUCCUGGGCCGCACACGUGCUACAAUGGGUGGAACAAAGAGAGUUUAAAAAGCCUUCUCUUGAGAGAAGGCUUAUCUCAAAAACUAUCCUUAAUUCGGAUCGUAAGCUGCAACUCGCUUGCGUGAAGCUGGAAUCGCUAGUAAUCGCUGGUCAGCCAAACGGCGGUGAAUUGUUUAUCGAGCCCUGUACACACCGCCCGUCACGCCAUGGAAGUUGGUCUGUCCAAAAACCACUGU
rnacentral:rRNA from 1 species